rnacentral:rRNA from 1 species
CCUACGGGAGGCAGCAGUGGGGAAUAUUGGACAAUGGGGGGAACCCUGAUCCAGCGACGCCGCGUGAGUGAAGAAGUCUUUCGGUAUGUAAAGCUCUAUCAGCAGGGAAGAAAAUGACGGUACCUGACUACGAAGCCCCGGCUAACUACGUGCAAGCCGCCGCGGGAAGACGGAGGGGGCAAGCGUUAUCCGGAUUUACUGGGUGUAACGGGAGCGUAGACGGUGCAGCAAGUCUGAUGUGAAAGGUCGGGGCCCAACCCCGGGACUGCAUUGGAAACUGUUGAACUGGAGUACAGGAGGGGUAAGCGGAAUUCCUAGUGUAGCGGUGAAAUGCGUAGAUAUUAGGAGGAACACCAGUGGCGAAGGCGGCUUACUGGACUGUAACUGACGUUGAGGCUCGAAAGCGUGGGGAGCAAACAGGAUUAGAUACCCCAGUAGUC